rnacentral:rRNA from 1 species
UACGGAGGGAGCUAGCGUUGUUCGGAAUUACUGGGCGUAAAGCGCGCGUAGGCGGCUUUGUAAGUUAGAGGUGAAAGCCCGGGGCUCAACCCCGGAAUUGCCUUUAAGACUGCAUCGCUAGAAUCCGGGAGAGGGGAGUGGAAUUCCGAGUGUAGAGGUGAAAUUCGUAGAUAUUCGGAAGAACACCAGUGGCGAAGGCGGCUCACUGGACCGGUAUUGACGCUGAGGUGCGAAAGCGUGGGGAGCAAACAGG